GCGUCUCGCCCCACUCCCACCCCAGCCGCCAAACGAACCCUAGCCCGCUUUCUCCCUUCCCUCGAUCCCCACGAGCCGCCGCACCCCUCCCUCCCCAAUCUCCACAGCCGCCGCACCUCUCCCUCGAUCCCCACGAUCCUCUCCUCGCCCGCAGCCGCCGGCCUCGUCUCUCCACUCGCCUACUCCUCUCCUCUACCAUGUCGUCGUCGAUCCCACCGCCGGCCUUCUCCACUGCUUGCCUCUUCCUGUCCGCUUCCAUGUCACCGUCGAUCCAGAUCGGAUGUAGGUCAUCGUUGUGGGAGAGUAGCGGUGGCGGGGUCUUCUCGAUGCGGGUGAGGAUGUAGGGGAGGGGUAGGAUGCGGACGACAAGGUGAAGGAGGAGGCCGGCGAGGAAGGCAAGCAACAGCGGGGAAGGAGCAGGUGAGCAAUCCUAGCGCGGGGAACAUCCGUGGGGACGGCGCCGUCGGCCAGGGGCCAUUCGCCGUCGUCGGCCUCACUCGCCUCGUCUGCUCUCUCUUCACCAGCCCGACCAUAGAGGAUGGGAUGAGAAAGUCUGUGGCCAGCGAAUGGAGCCCCACCUUUGCGUUUCUGUCGCCGCCGAGGAACGUCGCAGCCACUCGCCCACACCAGCCAAAGUGAUUCAUCUACACUACCGCUAGAAGAUUUGGGACUUCACAAUCUGAUGCUGAGCAAGUGGACAUCCAUGUCCCAAAUGAGAAGGCUGGGUUGCUCAUUGGGGAGGGAGGUGAGACCAUUGAGCUUUUAGAAACUAAGUCUGGGGCUGGCAUUCAGGAUAGUGCUAUGACUAUAUGCAUGGAUGUCUUUAUCCAUCCCCAAAUGAGAAGGCUCGGAUGCUCAUUGGGGAGGGAGGUGAGACCAUUGAGUUUUAGAAACUAAGUCUGGGGCUGGCAUUCAGUUAAUCCCGCAUCAUCUCCCCGAAGGUGAUCUUUCCACAGAAAGAAAAAUACAACUUAGUGGGAAUUGGAAUCAAAUAGAGAUUGCAAGAACAAUGGUCGUGGAACUCAUUAGUCAGGUACAGAAGAUUAGUUUUUUUGUUGUGGAUUUUUCUGCCUUUGCAGGCCUCUUUCUUUGUUACUUCUGAAACUCAACAUAUGGGGAUUUUGAGAGGAUUUUCAUGUUCUGACCAGGGUCAGUGCUAGAUUAAAUAUAUCCGCAGUAGCGCAAGAUUUUAUUCUUCUCUAAACGACCUGAUUUAGAGACAUUUUAAGGUGUUUAUCCAGAUGUGAUCUUUUUUAUUCAGUGACAGGCGAAUCAUAUAAUUCUUUCAUUUAAAUUCGUGCUCUGUUAUCUAGAAACUAAUAGGUCCUUCUGUAUACAUAGACUAUCAUGCCGUGAAAGUGUAAUAUUUUCCCCCUGUUUUGGACUAACUUGUUAUCUAAUCAUUUCAAACUCUAUAUUUUUAAUGUUUAGUAAUUAAACCUUUAAGGACUAAUGGUUGAUGCUAGAUCUUGAUUUUUUUUUACUCUGUUAUUCUUUGUUGUUAGUAACUUACUAUUACUCUGUGUAGGCUAAACUGGUGCGUACAUUUUCUGUGGUUAGACAUAUAUUUCUAUAUGCAUGUGGAAGUGUAGAUCUCGUGAGAUAUAUUUUAUAACUGGAAUGGCUGAGUAUCUGUGUUAGUUGAUUACCUCAUGCAAUAGUUGUAGCUUCUCAUGGAAUAUUCACACGCUGUCAGUGACAAUGUAUCAUAUUUACAAGAGCUCAACCUUGUGCUUAGUUGAUUACGAGAAUGCCACUCUCAUAUGCCUGAUAGACUAUGUUGCCUUGAUAUGUUGUAAGAGAAUAAUUCAUAUGGAAUUCAGUUGCAAGAGGAACAAGUAUGACGUAAUGUUGAUUUAUUGAUAAACAUGCAUUUUCGUGAUUAUAUAAUUGUAUAUGAAUUUUUUAGAGAAAAUAUUGCAAGAGCUCAUCCAUGUACUUGCUUGAUUACACCAACUUGGGAGCACUAUCAAGUACUCCCUACUUCCCAAAAUCUUGGGCGUAUUAGGUAUUAGCACGAAAAUUAGCGCACUGGUAGUUACGUGAGCCAUCGUACGAGGGAGCCAUCCACAAUUGGAGAAAAAAAAGGAAGGCAUGCACGAUUUGGGUGCUAACGGCACCAGAGGACCGACCGCCUUUUUUAUUUCCAAAAACGUAGCUAACUACACACCCUGCAUUAUGGGACUGCAUGUAAAAUCUAAUAUGCCCAAAUUUUUUGGAAGGAGGGAGUACCAAACAAUGUUUUCUGUUUGUGAUAAAUUCAGUUAUGGUGUGAUUGCCUACUGUAGUACUCCCUCCGUUCGGAAAUACUCGUCGGAGAGAUGGAUGUAUCUAGACGUAUUUUUGUUCUAAAUGCAUUCAUUUUCAUCCAUUUCUACGACAAGUAUUUCCGGACGGAGGGAGUACUACCCAAACUGAUUUCAUCAUAUCAUCAAUUUCAGGAAGCUUAUGUAGUUUGUCAUUGAUUAUUGAUGUCAUAACAAGGAUAUGCCAUACACACGAAGAUACUCCUAUUAACACGAGUGCCAUCAGUAUAGUGACCUUGUGCAUCAGAAAAAGGACUUGGUUAAAGCAUAAGGACGAUGAUCCCGUUUUUGCUCUAUAGGCCUCCCCUUCUUCAAAUGAAGCUCCAACCUUAGCAAGGGUAUGGUAGUAGAUGAUGUGUCUGUUUUGUUUGUGUCGACAGACAAGCGGUUGGUUGAUUCUGUAUACACAUCCUGCAAACUAAGCUUAGCAAAUAGCAAUAAAGCUACAACAAGUGUGUUCACUGUCAUCUCCCUUUGAAACAAUAUAUCAUCUUCUGGUUUUCUAAUAUGUAUUGUACAGCAUGAAGGGGAGCCUUGGCGCAGUGGUAAAGCUGCUGCCUUGUGACCAUGAGGUCACGGGUUCAAGUCCUGGAAACAGCCUCUUGCAGAAAUGUAGGGAAAGGCUGCGUACAAUAGACCCAAAGUGGUCGGACCCUUCCCCAGACCCUGCGCAAGCGGGAGCUACAUGCACUGGGGCUGCCCUUUUUAUUGUACAGCAUGUGACUAUCCAAAUUAUUCUCUGUAGAUAACUACACGCUUAUCUACUUGUCGUACCAAAAUGGUUCGUCUUUAUCAAAAUCCAUGUUUCCUUGUUCCUUCCUA